GGCCAUCUGGUCCAACUCCCCUGCCCUGAACAGGGUCAUCCACAGGUGCUCAGAGCCUUGGUCUUGAAUGUCUCCAAGGAGUUUUGCUUCCUGUGAGCAACACACCUGCUGCCAUGGCAUGGUGGAUAUUCCUGGCGACACCGGAGCAGGAUUCAAAAGCAGGUAUCUGAUGGCAUCGAACCAAUCUUCCAAGGUGCUGUGCUUGUUGCUGACAGCACCCAGCCCCUAACGCCUCGUGGGAUGUCUUAUCUGCUCUCCGUGUCACUGCUCCUUGCCCAGAUAUCUUGCUGAUAUCCCUCGCCAUAUGGGAUGUGUGUGGUGCUGCUUCCUCCUGGCUGUCACUCGUGGGGUUCUGCCCCGGCUCCGAAGCUCCGUGCGUGGGAACAGCUCCUGGCUGGGGCUCAUCUCUGUCUGCAGGAGCUGCUCGGCCUCUUUCAGCACAUCUCAGUCUGUUUGGAGACAGUUCCCACAAGCAUCUCUUCUCCAGGUGUAGCGGCUUUCUCUCCCCCGUGUUUCAGCCGUGGUAUCACAUUAUUUAUGGCAGUGCGUGCUUCACCUUGCAAAACCCACAAUGGCUUUGGCACCAAUGGAAACAGGCUGGACUUCUUCGACUUCCGAACCGACUUCAGUCCCGACCCCUCUGUCUCCUUCCAGUGCUUCAGCAGUUAAAUGGAAAAGUG
rnacentral:lncRNA from 1 species